CCAUCCUAGGGAUGAGAAAACCAGCGAAGAGAUUCCAAAAGCUUAGGAAAAACGACAUAACAAUGGCAGCAAUUUGAUGGUUGGGAGUGAGUGCCACGAUCAUCAUUCCAUACAAUGUGAAGUAAAUAAAGCACAUGAGUAGGUAGUAGUAGAACCAUAAGAACUUGUCCACUCGCCAGUAGAAUCCCAUCAUAGAGUAGAGGAGAAGACUGUAAACCAAAGUUUGGAUUGCAACGUAAAUUGCCUCUAUGGCCACCUGCAGGGCAUCCGAAUACAAGAUUAGUUUAAAGUUAAGCUCUACUAGAAAUGUGUCUGUUUCUCAUCAGUUUUCUCAAAAGGCAACCUGGGCAAAUGCGUAAGGCAAUGCUGAAUACAUCCCAGCUGCCCUUUCACGGUAGAAGACUGUUCUCUCAAUUGCCACAACAGGCUGCACUGAGGAAGUGUUGGUGGCUCCAAGGAAGAAGACAGCUGAAAACAUAGCUCCCAGCAGAUUUAUUAGAUCUUGUUCCUUGUCUCUGCAUACAGUAGUUGGGGUGUUGGUUCACAUUUUUUGUUAAUUAUUAAUGGAGAACAACCAAAAUAAUAAAUUUGCAAUACUUACGUCUUCUCUCCUUUGUUCCAGAAAAUUACUCCAAAUAGAACACCAAUAAUUAUGGUCAAGAAGAACCGGAUAGCAUUAUAGGGAGGAUUCCUCCAAUAAGACCAGUGCUGUUUCCAGAAGCAAGCCUUGCAUUGACUAAUAAAGCUUUGAGAGUAUUUGGUGGGGAAAUAAAGGUCUUUGGAUCCUGGUGAUGGUGUGCUCAGCUCUUUGAUGAGUUCCUGAUUCCUCCUGCAACAAAAAGGUGAGUGUAAUAAGUCAUUGGAAAAAGAAUUGAGACAGAAAGAUGAUGUUCCAAGGAAUCAUAAUCCACUUACUGAUAGAGUUCAGAUUUAGCAUAAAUUUCUGCAAAAUCCACACCAAGUUGAGCCUCAACUGCAGCAGAGCUGAUCUCCAGCAUCCAUGUAGCAGGAUUUUGACCAUCUCUGACUUUAGGAACCCCCGGGACAGCCUGCAGCAAGUUAUGGAUUUGAUCAUGACACACUCCUUAUAAGUAUAACAAUGGAGAUGGAGCAAGUUCACGGAAGAUGAAUAAUGCUCACUUCAAAGUACUCUACAAGCUUGUGAGAAUUGCGACCAAGAGCUCCAGCAUAAAUGAUUUGUCCUCCUCUCUUCAUCAGCAGUAGCUGCAGGCAAAAAUGAUGUUGGAUUGAAGAAAGGAAUGGUGACUCCAUGAUAAUCAUACCAAUAAGAAGUAUUAGAUUCAAAACCAUGAAACUGAGAAAUACCUCAUCGAAAGCUUCAAAGAUGUCUAUGCUUGGCUGGUGAAUGGUGCAGACAACAGUCCGCCCUGUAUCCACUGUGUUUCUAACAGUACGCAUAACAACUGCGGCUGCUCUAGCAUCAAGGCCUGUCGUUGGCUCAUCCAUGAAGAGGAUGGAGGGGUUAGCAACCAAUUCUACAGCUACUGUCAGCCUCUUCCUCUGUUCUGUUGAAAGCCCAUGUAUUCCGGGAAGGCCAACCAAAGCAUCCCUCAGGGGGUGAAGCUCAACCAAUUCCAUUACUUCCUCAACAAACACCUAUGGCACAGAAGGAACAAAAAAAAAAAAAAAAACAACUGAUGAAUAUAGCUUAUAAGAGGGUGAACUAAAAGAAAAAUCAUUCAUUUGAAAAAAGGACAUGCCUGCCUUGUUUCCUUCUUGACAUCUGGAGCAAGGCGCAGCCAGGCAGAGUAAACAAGAGAUUCAUAAACAGUUACAUUUGGAGAAUGUAUAUCAUUCUGCUCACAGUAUCCACUAAUACGAGCGAAAGUUGCUUGGUUUUUGGGGUAACCAGAAAUACUGAUACUUCCUUCAAUGUAUCCACCAGUUUUCCUUCCUGCUAACACAUCCAUCAAAGUGGUCUUUCCAGCACCACUAACACCAACUAAUGCUAUUUGAAUACCUGGCCUGAAAGCACCACUAGCAUCCCGCAGCAGUUGGAGACGAUCCGCUUCAAUUCCUUGGCUCUUCAUUCCCUGUGAUUGAAUCCAUAAAAAAGUUUCAAAGCUCUAGACCAAGAUCAUAUCCUAACACAUAUAUUAGUCUCACUGGUGUGUCUACAUACUCAAAACAAGUUACUUACAGCAGGCAUAUCAACAUAGUAAUUCACAUGCUCAAAUGCAAGUGAUAAGGGCUGGAAGGGCAACACCAUUCCCCUUUUAGUAGGUGUAUGAUUUGCAUCUUUGACAACUGAUUUGGUGCUUUCUCUAGUUUUCCUUACUUCCAUAUCAAUACCUGUUACCAUAGACCUACUAUCAGCUUCCAGAUAAAGAAAAUCUGAUGUUUAUGUUAUUUGUAAUGUACAGUAUCGCUAGCCUCUUCAAGAAGUGAUUAACAAGAAUUUUGUGAGGGUCAGGUAAAAAUCUGGUGUCUCCUAGAGAAGGAGAACCAAUAGCAAGAAGCAAGUUCAGAAAUUGUAGAACCAUACAAUAAUAGUUGAUGAAACAUUGUUAAUAGCAACAUCUUCUCCUCUCUGCAAAGGGAAAUUUGCAGCAUGUUUCAGAAGAAAUAGAUCUCAAAACUUAUCCUUUUUGUCCUAACAUUUUGAAAUCUCUCUUAAUAUCCACCACUUUGUUAGGCUUGAGUUUUAGGCUAUCAUGCUACUGGUUUUCGACAUUGAUAAACCACUCAGUUUAUUGAAAAUGAACACCAUAAGGUGGCAAUCACAGGGGAUUUGAUUCAGUGGAAAACUAGAUAUUGAAUUAUUGUUGAAUGGAAACUGUAUAUGGACCUAAUGCUUGGUUAAUAAAAUAUAUAGAAACGCUAGAAGACAAACAAACAACCAAAAACCAGAGGAGAUCAAAGUAGGAAAAAUCUUGAACCUUCAGACAUUGGGGCAGUAGCUGAAUUUCUUUCUGGGGUGGUCAGAUCAUGCUGUUUGUUAGAGAAAAACUGCUUCUCACUCUUUUCUUCAUUUUCCUCAUCAAUAAUGACAGAUUUUGAGUCUCCCAGAGCUGCAUUUGAGUUUCAGAAAAUUGUCAAAACUAGAAUCUUAUUUAAAUAAUACCCAGUUCUGACUGAUGGAUGGUAAUUCCAUGACUAGAACCUUUGGAGGGAAGGAAAAAGGAAAAUGGAGGUUAGUAUAAGCAAUAACUUACGGUCCAAAUAUGUCAGAGCUACAAUGAAACAGAUAUUGAAGAGCAGAGAAAACCCCAUGAGUGCACCAACACAAAUCCAAUACCAAUAGCCAUCCACAAACAUGCCUCUUGCCUUGAGAAGAGCUUUUCCAACUGUGGGUUCUGGAAUUCUUUGAUCGAUGUUGGGCUGUGCCAAAAACCGAUUAGCGUAUACAAAGACAGACCAAGUAAUGACGGCAGAAAUGCCAAAGCUUAAAACAAAGUGAGAAACAAUCAUUCAAAAGCUACUAGGAAACCUUACCGCACUCCAUCUGUCAUCAAGAAAUUCAUUGAUGACAAGCGCAUUUUGUCCAUACGUCAUUGGAGAAGCAUAAUAUCCCCAUAUCAUCCAUGGUUCAAUAUCAUCUGAGUAAGAAGGAGAAACAAAUGGUUUAUUACAUUAUCACUCAUAUGAUAUAAUCACAUGAAGAGUGCCCCUUGUCUCCCUUUCCACUUGAAAUAUGGCAUCAGUGUUGCAAAAACAAUCUGUUGAAUUUUGACUUAGUAUUUGCUGGAAUUUGAAUUUUGAAUAUUGCAGCUGGAGUCUUGCACAAAAUCUGCAACAUCUAGAUAUUUUCUUAUUUUUAUUUGGUCAAGAUUUGGUUUCUAUUUUAUAGGAAGUAGUUGUUCAUCAUCUAGUAGCUUGAUUUUCUGCUAUUCUAAUGUCAUUUAAGUUACAAGUUCAUGUAUAAAUUCAGCAUUCUUCAUCAAUAAAAUUAGAGUUCCAGCAGCCCAAAAAUACAUAUUUUAUAUAAGUGUUUAAUCCAAAUACCAACAAAGUGGUAUCAGAGCCAUAGUUAUCUUGAGGGGCCAGUGAGGUGAGUGAACCCAAACACCUUCUAAAAUCAUUUAGCAAUGGAAGAGUCAAGUCUCACAGUUGCACCAUCAAUUCUUGAUGGAGACAAUUAUGAAACUUGGGCUGUUAGAAUGACAGUUCAUCUACAAGCACUUGAUGUUUGGGAAGCAGUGGAAGAAAAUUAUGAAGUUCCUCCCCUGGGAGCCAAUCCAACUGUGGCUCAAAUGAAGUUGCAUAAAGAAAGAAGGACAAGAAAGGCUAAAGCGAAAGCUUGCUUGUUUGCUGCAGUUUCACCAUCAAUUUUCAUCAAAAUCAUGAAAAUUGAUUCAGCUGCAGAAAUUUGGGAGUAUCUCAAGGAGGAAUACAAAGGAGAUGAAAGAAUCAAGAACAUGCAGGUGAUGAACUUGAUUCGAGAAUUUGAAAUGAAGAAAAUGAGGGAGUCUGAUGCUGUUAAAGACUAUGCUGCACAACUUCUUUCAAUAGCAGACAAAGUUAGGCUGCUUGGAAAAGAAUUUUCCAAUGAGAAGAUUGUUCAAAAGAUAUUGGUUACACUUCCUGAGAAAUAUGAAGCUACAAUUUCCUCUUUGGAGAAUUCAAAAGAUCUGUCAACUAUUAGCUUGACAGAAUUAUUACAUUCCUUGGAGGCUGUGGAACAAAGAAGACUCAUGAGACAAGGAGAUACUGCAGAAGGAGCAUUUCAAGCAAGAAUGCAGAAAAAUGCAGGCCAUAAAAAUGGAAAGGUGAACAACAACAAGUCGUGUGGCAACAACCAGAAAAAUGGAGUUUUUCCACCUUGUCCUCAUUGCAAGAAGACAAAUCAUUCUCCACAAAAAUGUUGGUGGAGACCAGAUGUGAAAUGCAACAAGUGUGGUAAACAAGGACAUGUGGAGAGGAUUUGCAAAAAUCAACAGCAGGAAGAAACUAAUGCAGUAGUUGACUAUUGUCAGGAGGAGCAAUUGUUUGCAGCAACGUGUUUUGCUAAUAAAAGCACCUCUAAAAGCUGGCUUGUGGAUAGUGGUUGUACAAACCACAUGACAAAUAAUCAAGAUCUCUUUAGAGAACUUGAUAGAACAACUAUUUCCAAAGUCAGAAUUGGAAAUGGUGAGUAUAUUCCAGUGAAGGGCAAAGGAACGGUUGCUAUCGAAAGCCAAACAGGUUUGAAACUCAUUUAUGAUGUUUUGUUUGUGCCUGACAUUGACCAAAACUUACUCAGUGUUGGACAGCUCGUUGAGAAAGAAUUUAAAGUUUAUUUUGAAGAUAGGAAUUGCAUUAUCAAGGAUGCUGAAGGCAAAGAGGUGUUCAACAUAAAAAUGAAGGGCAAGAGUUUUGCCUUGAAUUUACUGGAAGAUGAGCAUACUGCUAUUUUACAACAAGAUAGCACAACAAUGUUUUGGGACAGAAGGGUCGAGCACUUUCAUCAUGAUGAUGUGCUCUACAUGAAGAAAAAUCAAAUAGUUGAAGGACUUCCUGACUUAGAAAAAGAUCUUCCUAUAUGUGCUACUUGUCAAUAUGGGAAGCAAACUAAACUUCCCUUUCCAAAGAAAAUAUCCUGGAGAGCAACCCAAAAACUGCAACUGGUGCAUACUGAUGUUGGUGGAUCUAAAAAAAUGCCAUCCUUGAAAUGGAAUGCAAACAAUGUUUGGUGGAUCUCAAAAAAUGCCAUCCUUGAAAUGGAAUGCAAACAAUUUUGGGCUAAAACUGCAAGUAGAGCAGUAUAUUUUCUGAACAUAUUGCCAACAAAAGUGUUAAAGAAGCAGACCCCUUUCGAAGUUUGGUUUGAGUGUCUACGUGCAAGACUUGGAGUUUGCAUCUACGAAGUCAAGGAGGAGUGUUGAAUUUUGACUUAGUAUUUGCUGGAAUUUGAAUUUUGAAUAUUGCAGCUGGAGUCUUGCACAAAAUCUGCAACAUCUAGAUAUUUUCUUAUUUUUAUUUGGUCAAGUUUUGGUUUCUAUUUUAUAGGAAGUAGUUGUUCAUCAUCUAGUAGCUUGAUUUUCUGCUAUUCUAAUGUCAUUUAAGUUACAAGUUCAUGUAUAAAUUCAGCAUUCUUCAUCAAUAAAAUUAGAGUUCCAGCAGCCCAAAAAUACAUAUUUUAUAUAAGUGUUUAAUCCAAAUACCAACACAAUCAGCUCAGUGCAUAGCAAAAAGACACAAAACACUGACCUUUGGCUACAAUGAAACCACCCAGAACAAAAACCAGUAGCAAUGUAAAGGUACCAAGAGUGUUGGCCACAAUCUGUGUUCUUCCAAGUGCUGCAAUGAAGCGGAAGAGAGAUAGAGCCAUCUGAUGCACGCCAAAGAAUGCCAGUAAUUGACGGAAAAACCUGAACAUUUUUCAAGUCUUGGGUUGUCUUAGUUCCAUUUGUGAAUGCUAAAACAAGAGUCAGGAAGAAUGAGGUCCAUUCACAUACCUACUAGCAGAAGGGGCAAACCCAAUAGUGUAAUACGUGAGAAUGAUCCAUAUCCCUGACUCCAUGAGUGACAAGGGGAUCCUAAGGACCCAAAUUGGUAAUGCAAAAGCCCAUGCCGGGUAAAACAAGAAAUCCCUCUGCUUAAAAAACACUGGGAGCCUGAAAAGAGUCAAUGCAAGCUCUGCCAUUCCGUUAAACAUUACAUUUAUGAGACUAUAAAACAGAGCCCCAUAGAAUUUUACUCCAUCUUGCAGUUGGCCAUGCUUCAUUUCUGUUCUGAAGAACACUGUCAUGGCAAUUACUGACAUGAUUGUAAUCUGGGUUGUCUUGAAUAUGUAUAUAAAAGAGUUGCGCUUCAUCAAUAGCCACUCCCUGGCAAAGCAUGCCUUGAAGAGUUCCCAGUUGGAGAUUCCAUACUUUUCUGUCACCAAUGCUGCAGGAUGGGUUCUGCUCUUAUUGUAAGGGAUUCCAAGGUCGUCUGAAAGCUUCUGGCCAAUGUGGAAAGAGUUGAAAUGUUGUGCAAACUCGGGCACUGAGAUAUAUUUGUAAGGUUCAUUGUGUCUGAACCAGUAUUGUUCUUGUUCCUUUCUGGAAGUCACCUCUUGCAAGAAGUCUGCAACUCCUUUUCUUUUUGGGCAUUUGAAGCCCACGCUUUCAAAGAACUCAAGGAUGUUUUCACGGGGACCUUGGUACACAAUCUGACCCUCACAUAGUAAGAUAAUGGCAUCAAAAAGAUCAUAAGUUUCAGGUGCAGGUUGGAGAAGAGAGAUUAUCAUGGUUACUUCCAUGAUAUGAACCAUCUGCCUCAUAAACUUGACAAUCUGAAAAGUGGUGGAACUGUCCAGACCAGUUGAUAUUUCAUCCAUGAAAAGAGCCUUUGCUGGUCCAACCAACAUUUCUCCUGCAUUCAGUUUCAUCAGUCAUAUUAGGCUUUUGUGGAAUAUUAAAAAUCUUAAGAACAAGGAUUCCUCAGAAAGCAGACAAUUCAUAAUUGAUCAGUAGCUCAAUUCAAAUUGAAGGCAAAUGCUUUACCACUAAGUUGAAAGAAACAAUUGAUAUAGGACAUAAUCAAUGGAAAUGGGGCACAUACCGGUAGUAACACGCUUCUUUUCUCCACCAGAAAUGCCCCUUCUCAUAUCAUCUCCCAACACAAUGUCAGCGCAGAUGUCUAAUCCCAGCAUCUGUUACACAGACAAUGUCAAAGAGCGUAAAGCUUGGGAAUGUAACUAAUAGGCCAGGCACCAAAUGGAAAUGGAGGUGCAAACCUUGAGCACAUAAUCUGUAACCAAACUAGUUUCUUGGCCUGCCAUUGCUGUUGCUUUCAUGAAUGCAUCUAUCUCAGGAUCUGGCUUAAUUGCAGAUUCUUUUUCUCGUCUUGACAAUUCUGCUAGUAGUUCAUAUCUGGUUCCAACUCCCAAACAUCGUCCUGAGAAGUCCAACGUUUCCCUAACUGUCAUCUCACCAUGGUGCAGAUCAUGCUGGCUAAUGUAAGCACAUGUUCUCUGAGGAACAAACUCUGAUAAUUCAUGACCACAGUAUGUGAUUUUUCCUUCCAUCUGUCCAUAAACACCGCACACAACAGAUCAAUGAGUUCAGGAAUCGGGGACUAUCACCAUCACUAAAUAAUUCAGAAUUAAGGAACAGUCCGAGGACAUGGGCUAAAACUAGGGAAGGAAAUAACGAUGACACAGUGAAGGAUCGAAUUGGAUAAAAAUAUUUGUCAGAAUGUAAGUUGGGGGGACAGCAUACCCUUAGAUCUUUGUCCAUCUUCCCAGCAAGCGCCUGCAGCAGGGUAGUUUUCCCUGAGGCUGGAGGUCCCAGAAGCAGGGUCAUUCUGCAAAACACAGAAGCUAAUCAAGAAACCAGCAAAGAAAGAAAGUGUACUUAAUGGGAAAUUUUUUUGUUAUCCUAUUGAAUUUUCCCAGAAUAUGUAUCAAUCAAAUUAUCUAAAGACAUCAUUCAGGAGAUUUGUGUUAUGGGUAACAUGAUUGAUUGAAUGGUACUUCCAAAAAUGGAAUACAUUUACCUUGAUGGUUUCACGAUCCCACUCACAUCUUUUAGUAUCUUGACUACCCUUUUCUUGGAUGAGGAAAGCCUAAUCAGUCCAAGUAUUCCCUGUUCAUGACAAUAAAUAAACACAAUCAUACUUCAUUUAUCUCUACAACAGUCUUCUCAAUUGAAGCAAACAUCUCCCAAAAACAUUAUCAGGAGAUUGAAGUCAUUCAUUAUAAUUUGCUGAAAGGGAAAAUCAAGAAUCACCAUCGAAAACAGAAGAAGAAAAACAAAGGGACAAACAGAACAAACUACCUCUAUGAAGUUCAUGGUAGAAUUGAGCAGAGUAGGAAGUGCUCUGGUUCCAACAUAUGCGUCUCCUUCCACUGAUAAAUGCUCAAACCGGACUUCGAUUUUUGGUAUCUCAACCCCAACCCUGUUGAGCAAACAGAUGUUAUGUUUCAUAAAACUUUUCUGGUAACAAAUUCAACCGGGGCAAAGCCAAAAGCAAAAAAACACAUGACCAACAGGGUGAACUUCAUGGGAAGAAAGAGAGAAGAGUGACCUAUCAGUCCUUUCCCUGAGCCUGAGAAGGAACUUCUCAUUAUCUUCUUCAACAACCUUAAGUAUACUCUCUAUGAGAUGCUUCCUCUCCUGCAUACCAAGAUUGGUGAAGUCAACUUCUUCAUGGACAACCUUCCCAUCAUCCAAAACUUGCUUAAGCAUCCCCUUCCUCAACCGCUCAAAGGUUGGAAGCCUUUCAAUGGCCGCCCACUUCAACUCUUCCUCAUCAUCCUCUCUCCUACUCUGAAAAACAUCACCUUGUGCUGACAACACCUCAAGAAUACUCGCAGAAGCCCAACUUCGCCUACUUCCAGACGCUAAACUUUUGCGCCUGCUGCUCAUGGACCUUGCUAGAUCAUCCCCAGCCAAUGCUGCAGCCAUUGUCACCCACCAAAACCCCUCAGAGUAAAGACUCCAAACCCCCCUUUAUAAUAACCCUGGAAAGCUCAGAUUCAACCGAUGAGCUCAAGAUGCUAGAGAAGGUGUGGAUGAAAUGGUGAGUAGAUGAGAUUGAUGGGCAUGGAGUGAUGUAGGAGGUGAUGGAGACUGGAAAGCGGUAGAGAAGUGGGCAUUACUGAGUGGCAGAGGAGAGUCUUUUAUGACGUACAUGAAAUUUUUAUGUUUGAUCACUUGACAGUUCGGGAGACUUGAGAGUUGGCUGGUGAGACUUUCAUGCAUAUGGAUGCAAAUCUUUUUCGGCUUAAUUAUGGCUGGCAUAUAGUUUGGAGAGGGUAAGUGUGUUUUUGGUGUCUCCGUGUUAGCUUAACAACCACAAUAAAAAUAAAAUAAAAUAAAAACCUAAAAUUAAUUAAAAUUUCACCCACCCAAGAAAAAGAUAGUACAUGUGUUGUUAAAUGCUACUACUUUAAUAUUAUCCUUCACUUAAAAAUGUAUAAAAAUAACAAUUAUUUUGAAAUCACAUCAUACCAUUUCAAAAAUAAAAAUUUCCCUUACAUGUAAAGGUUUUUUUAACAAAAAUAAAACAUUUGACCCCUCUAAAAAAACAAUAUAAAUUUAAUUUUAAAAUUUUUAAAAAUAAAAAGUGAUGGUAACUAAAUAUUAUUACCACGACCGAACUAAAAUUAAAAAAUAAAAUAAAAUCUUCUUUAAUAUUUUUCAUACUUAUUUUUUCUUGUUUUUUUGAAUCUUUUUCUUGUUUAUGCUUAGUUUUUAUGAUUGGUUUAACUUACCAGAGAUAGUUAAUGUUAUCCUUAAUUUACAUAUUGAUAUUUAUCUAUUUAUUAUGUAUUAGUUUGAAUUAUAAUAAAAUAUAGAAUUUGAUUUAGAGUGAAAGUUUACUAUUAAAACCUACUCCCAAUCGUGUAGAUAUUAUCCGUUUUGGACCCAAAGGGGCCCUCUCAGCUUUAAAACGCGUCUAAUUGGUUAAGAGGAGUCUCUACAUAUAUAACAUUAGGAACUUUCUCUUAUAUCCGAUGUGGGACAUCACAAACACUUCUUAUGCAAACACAACGUUUGUAACGACCCGCUCCCAACUAUGUAGAUAUUAUUCGCUUUGAACCCAAAGGGGCUCUCACGACUUUAAAACGUGUUUACAGGGUUAAGAAAAGUUCAUGCUUAUAUAGUGCUAUGAACUUUCUCCCCUAUUCGAUGUGGGAUGUCAUAAACAUCCCCCUAUGCAGACACAACGUCCUUGUUGUGUCCUACGAGAUUGUGGGGCCAAACAAACACCCUUACGGGACUAAACAAACCCCACACCGAGGUCGGGGAUCAGCUUUGAUACCAUUUGUAAUGACCCGCUUCCAAUCGUGUAGAUAUUGUCUGCUUUGGACCCAAAGGGGCCCUCACGGCUUUAAAACUCGUCUACAGGGUUAAGAGAAGUCCAUACUUAUAUAGUGCAGGGAACUUUCUCCCUUAUCCGAUGUGGGAUGUCACAAAAUUUUUGUAAUGGCCCGCUCCUAACCGUGUAGAUAUUGUCCACUUUGGACCUAAAGGGACCUUCACGGCUUUAAAACGCGUCUAUAGGGUUAAGAGAAGUCCAUACUUAUAUAGUGCAAGAAAUUUUCUCCCAUAUCCGAUGUGAGAUGUCAUAAACACCCCCCAUGCAGACACAACGUCCUCGUUGUGUCCCACGAGAUUGUGGGGCCAAACAAACACCCUUACGGGACCAAACAAACCUCACACCAAGGUUGGGGAUUGGCUCUAAUACCAUUUGUAAUGGCCCGCUCCCAACCCUGUAGAUAUUAUCCGUUUUGGACCCAAAGAGGCCCUCACGGCUUUAAAACGCGUCUACAAGGUUAAGAGAAGUUCAUACUUAUAUAGCGCAAGAAACUUUUUCCCCUAUCCGAUGUGGGAUGUCACAAACACCCCCCAUGCAGACACAAUGUCUUCGUUGUAUCCCAUGGGAUUGUGGGGCCAAACAAACACCUUUACGGGACCAAACAAAUCCUACACCGAGGUCGAAAAUCGGCUCUGAUACCAUUUGUAAUGGUCUGCUCCUAACCGUGUAGAUAUUAUCCGCUUUGGACCCAAAGGGGCCUUCACGGCUUUAAAACGCCUCUAUAGGGUUAAGAGAAGUCCAUACUUAUAUAGCGCCAUGAACUUUUUCCCUUAUCCGAUGUGGGAUGUCACAAACACCCCCCUAUGCAGACACAACGUCUUCGUUGUGUCCCGCGGGAUUGUGGGGCCAAACAAACACCCUUAUGGGACCAAAAAAUCCCCACAUCGAGGUCUGAGAUCGGCACUGAUACCAUUUGUAACGAUCUGCACCCAACUGUGUAGAUAUUGUCCACUUUGGGUCCAAAGCAGACAAUAUCUACACGGUUGGGAACAGAUCGUUACAUUGAAUUGUAGUAGAACCCAAAUAUAUUUAUAUAUAAAUACUUAGCAUCAUUAAUGAGAAUAGUAUGUCAUAUUUUCUUUAUCUAUAUGAUAUCAAAGCCUUGAAUUCUAAACCCUAAUUCAACUUAGAGCAAAUUUAGGGUGCAAGGCUCAGGCCCUACAUGCCUCCCCCUACCCUUACCGCAAAUCGUAGUGACCUUGCUAUGCCUAUGUAUUGAAUGUAGUAUUUUGAAAUACAUUUUCAUAGCCAAGAACUCCAAUUUUUCUUAGUUCAAACCUACUAGAAGUUUCUUCUCCUUUGCUUCCACUUGGUUCCUUUAUUUAACAUAUAUUUUUUUUAUUCCCUUCAACUCUACCUUUCUCUCUUUCUUUAAAACCUUCAUCAAAGAUAUAUUUUCUUUAUUUAUAUAACUAAAUCAUAAAAAAAAAAAUACUUGUUAAGUUUUUAUUAACUAAUAUUUUUACCUGGAAGUAGGAAUAUAAUGUGAAUCGAUCAAAGUUUAACCAUUAAGUUGCAAGUGUUUAAUGAUUUAUUAUAAGUUUUAAGUGAAAGACUUUACUUUCGAAGAUAGUCCAUUAUUUGAAAAAGAAAAAAAGCUAAGAUAUUGAUUUUGUAUCUAUGAAAAUUUUGGAUACCCGAAUAUAAUGCUACCAAUAAUUGUACUAAUGCACAUAUGUCUCUCUCCCAUCAAUCGGUACUAGUUAAAGUAAUGGAAAUUCCCAUAUUUGUUUGAUGAGAAAUUCGAAAGAAAAAAUAUAUAUAAUAUAAAUAAAAUAUAAAUAAAAUAUAAAUAUAAAUUAAGAAUAAGCAUCCCCUGUAGAUAAAUAAAUCUUUUUUUUUUUUUUUAUUGGAUCCGUCGGGACUGACGGGGCUCGAACCCGCAGCUUCCAUACCCGAUUCAUAACUAGAAAGUUUCUCUGGUCCUUUACUAAUCGGAGCUAAAACUCUGGAAAAUUUUAAUGUCCACUUUUGAAAGCAUAUAGAAUUCUAAGUUUUUUGAAUGUAAGUAUAAAAAAUGAAGUAAGGUAUAAAUAAAUAAGAUUAAGUUGUAAGACAAUGAGAUCUAAAGACGUUAAACAAAAAUGAUUGAAUUCUUUAAAAUAAUUUUAAAUGUUUUUUCUUUAAAAUGACUAAAAUUAUUGAAAAUUUAUAAUUAUUUUUCUUUUAAUUUUUUUAAUUCUUUUAUUUUUUAUAUAUCUAAAAUCUAAAACUUUUUUCAAUGUUCUUAAUACCAUGUUGUUUAAUUUGAUACAUUUUUAUAAUUAAUAUUUAAAAUUAUUUAAUUUUUUUAAUAAUAAUAUAAAAUACUAUUAAUUAGCUUACAAUUUAUAAAUGAUAACUAUAACAUUUUUCUUGGAUCCCUCUUAACAAAAGUCUCUGGCUCGGCCAUUGGUUCACGAGUCUCCCAAUUUCUAUCCAACUUUUAUCUUAUUAUUUUGUAUUUUAAUUUUAUUAUUUAUAUGGGAGUUUUAUAUAUUUCUUAGUAUAUACUUAGAAUAGAUUAAUUUAGAAAGUUGGUAUGUGGCCCAGAAGAGAGGCAAUUUGGACGGCCAACGUGGCAUAAAUGCGUCAACUUGACUGACAAAUCACAUUAAACCCUUAAUGCCCAUGCCUUCCCAACUGCCUCCUGCUCUGAUUGAUAUUGAGUGGAAGUAAAUGCUCUAUUAAUAUCCCCUUCUAUGAUUUUGACUUUCAUUCAUUACACCCCACAUUUCUCAAUCCAACAAAUGUCGACAUGACAGAAGUAGAGAAAAUUAAAAUCUUCAUCUAAACAUCAUGUACGGGGAAUAAAUUCCCUAAUUAAAAUUUCUUGACCCCAAUUAUUCACGGAUUUUUUAAAUAAAAAUGUUAUUUUAAAAAAUAUUAUUAAAAUAUAGUUGCAAAAAUAUGAUGCUUUUUAACAUAUUUUUUUAUUUAUAUCCUAAAUUUAUCUUUUCAAAAUAUCAAUUCACUUUUUAAAAAAUGAUUUUAUUUUUUGUACUGUAAGGAUCAGUCAUAUUUUUACCUUAGAACAUUUUAUAUUGAAUUGGACUUUUCAAAAAAUGAAAAGACGAGUUCUACUUGUAAUUAAAAAGUGUUGCAAAUUUAAAAUCAUUUUUUAUAUUACGGUUAUUUAAAAAAUGCACUACUCUUGUAGAAAUCUCAAUUAUUCACCUCAUCAAACAAUUUUGAAAAAAAAAUGUCAUGUUUAAAUCUAGUUUUUAUUUUUAAGAUCAGGCAAGAACCUAAUGUUUUAAAAGCCUAACUAAUUAAAAAAACAAACCAUAUAUUAUAAAUGGAGUUUUUUGAAUUAGUUUUUAAAAAGAUGUGGUGAAUAAGUAACCUUAGAAUCCAUUUUUGGUAGUGAUUUUAGAAUACUUUUUUAACACAAAAAGUGUUUUUGAAAACAAAUUAGAUGGUUUAAAAUUUUGUAAAAUCACUUAUAUCAUUAAAAAAAUCAUUUAUAACAUUUUCUAGAAAAACAAUUGAUAAAUGAUUUUUCUAAAAACAUUUCUAGGUAGAAACAUUGCGAAAUACAGUAUUAAUUUAUUACUUUUUUUUAAAUCUUUAUAAAAUGAAUGAAGAAACUUUUCAAGCAAACAAAUUAAUACAAAUAUUAUUAAUAUAAAAUAAGUUGGAAAAAAAAGGGAAAAAUCGAUGCAUCAAAUUUCGUUUGAUUUGUAAUCUUUUCGUCCAAUGAGCAAUCAUCUUUCAUUUCUCAUUUAUAUAUAAAUAUAUAUAUUUUUAAAUUUUUUCAAAACAAAUGAAUUCCAAUGGGAAACUUAUGCAUUAGAUUCUUUAAUGAGCUUAUUAACUUUUAGAAAUGAUUUGAAAUCUAGAGCAGUGUAAAAUCCUAUAAAUAAUUGAGGAGUAUAUGCAUGUGUGACAAAAAAGUUAAUUUAUUUACAUAAAUUAGCGUUCUCCCUCUUUCUCCUUUUGUUUGAGAUUCAACGAAGUCAACAAGUACAUAUGUUGACUAAUCAGCUUUGGUCAUGAUCAAUACACGAAAUAACCUCGCAAUUUCCUUGUAUUUAUGUUUCUGUGAAGUCCAAAUUCAUUUAUUACUCAAAGCAUUAAUUUCAGAAAAUAAUAAAUAAUAUUUGUUUUUUAAGAAUUUUUCUAUUCCAUUGAAAAGCCGAUUUUUCAAUAUAAUAUAAAAAUAUGGUAAUGCAAGAAAUAUUGUUUGAUCCUAUUUCUUUGAACCUGUGUUGUUUUUAUUUUUCAUAUCAAAAACUCAAAUCUUAAGUUAGACAUUGUAUUGAAGGGGCAACAUAAAAUCUUUAUUAUUCACCUCAACUAAGUGUUAUUUUUUAUUUUUUAUUUUUUAUUCUUUUAUUUCCCAAUUUGCAGAUCUAAGAGGUUGGAUUUGAAACUAUUGGGUAAGACAUAAUCUUGGUUUUGUUAAAAAAAAUAAAAAUAAAUAAAGAAUAAGAAAUAAAGAUUAAAAAAACGCAUGAGAAUCCAAUUGAGAAAGUAAGAAUUUUCAUUUUCUAAAGCCCGCAUGCAAUUUGGGGUGCUUGAAUGAACUUGAUAUUGAAUUUCAUUUCCAACAAAGGAAUUUAGGUUCAUUUGGAAAAAAAAAAAAUCAUAAAGAAUAUGAAAAAUAAAACAAAUUAUUAUGGGGAUAAAUUAUUGUCAUAAAAAAAAUAAAGAAUUGAGGUAAGAAAUUCAGAGAAAGUGAACUCAUGAAAGUAUAAAUUUCCAAUAACCUUUAUUUAAGGUUAUAAUCGUAAUGAGUACAAUAAAUUAUUCUCUAGAUUUAUUACAACGGAUAAAUUGGUAUUAAAAAACAAUAGGGAUACUAUAGAAAACAUAGAUCUUGAGAAUAAAACUACAUACUUUGAUUCAGAUGUUCCUGGAUCGAUUUCGGUUGAUAUAGAUAACUCCAAAGUAGUAAUGAAUCUCAUAAACACCAUGAUCUUCAGUCCGAUGACUCUUCCUUGUGUUGAUGAUGGAGAUCUCAAGGGUGGAGGUUAGGGUUCUCUCUUUAGAUUGAAGGGGAGAAAGACAAGACAUAAAAACCUUUACCCCUAAAGGGGUAUUUGUAGGUUUCUUACUAGGCUUAAGUGCCUUAAGCCCACCAUGGACUUGGGUUACUUAAUCUAGCCUAAAAAAGGUUGCUAAUUGAUUAAUUAACCAUACAAUACCCUAAUCAAUCAAUUAACCCAGUCCAAAGAUACUACUCACUUAUCCUUGUGCAAUCUUAUGUAAUUACCAAAAUACCCUUAUACAUAAAGUGAACUAAAAACACAUUCAAUCCUUAUAAACCGCGUCAUCAAGGAAUAUGAGCUUAGAAAGGGGGCCAUUGAGACCCAUAGGAGUACUAGCUCCCUUACAAUUAAAUUUUGAAAUUGACUCAAUAUCCUACUAUAGAGAGUCAACUACACUCCAGUACCCUAUCUAUAUUACAACGAGACACCAAGUACUCUAGUUCAUGACUUACUAUCCAUUACAUACAGGCUCCCUAUGAACUAGUCCAUAAUCUAACAAGGUAGUGUUAUCACUUAUUAAGAUUACCUAUCAAAUCUUUUAGUUAUAGAUCUCACUUAUUCUAUGAUCAAAUGAUAUACUCUAACUUUAAGGAGCAUAUGUCAAAUUCCAUUAAAGGAAUUAUUAUGUCCACAAAUUUCAAGAUCAUUGGCAUUUGGAUCACCCAAUGGGAUACACUAUUUCAAUCCCAUGAGAAAUCAUGGUGCCUCUAUUGAGAAUACCUGUUGCCACUAGCCUCCAUCAAGAGUGAUCCAAUCCAUAGGGAUAUAUAACCACUUUAGGGUUUUACCUAUAGGUCAAAGCCUCUUGUUGAUUUUGGCAUAGACUCAAUAUCCUCUCAAGGUUGAAAGUUCAUGUAAUACAAUAGCUUGGUGAAUUAAGACAAUUGGUAGUCUUACCAUGAUUCACCCUAAGUUUUGUUCAGUGUGCAUUAGAUACACUAGUGCACUCACCAUGGGAAACUCAUCUCGACAGUUAAGACAAGUCAUCCCUCAAAUUAGGAGGUAGUGCACUACGAUCUCUACUAGAUUACCCAAAUCCAUGAACCAAUUGUGGACAACUUAUCUACUUACAAAGAACCCAUGACUUGUAUAUUCUGUGCAACUCCUAAUGCACCUAAGUCAUGUAUAAUGUAAGAGACAUAAACUGAAUACUCAAAUCAAUGUCAAUACACCAAAAGGAUAGCAAGAUGAUAGCUAAGUUUAACUUUGUUACACUAUAUCUUGGUUUCAAGGGCUCAAUCCCAACAAACUCCCACUAGUCCUAAAAACAAACUAGGCAACGUAGAAAAAAUUAUGCUUCAUAGUCUCAUCACCUCUCAAUACUAUAUCACAAUAAGGUAACACUUUUUCUUUAUGUGUUUUCUCUUUUAAUGGUACUUUAGUUCUUUAGACCAUGCCACUGUCCCAUUGUUAUCACAUAUCAGGAUCCUAGACAAUAUAGCUAAGGGAACUAGCCAUAAGCCAAAAGGCUUCCUUUGUUGCUAUAGAAAUAACAAAAAACCAUUUAAAGUAUACACAUACUUAGAGGUAGACAUACGAGAGUUCCUAUCAAAUUGAAGUUCAAUUUCUCGGUAAGAAAGGAGUACCAACUCAUCGCAAAGACUCACAAACAUAUAAGCCUUUAUUCUUUAAAGAUACUAGAGUAUAUGUUUGACAUCUGCCCAAAUCUCUAAUAAGGAAAUUGACCAAUAUCCACUCAUUAUUCCUAUAACAAAACAAAUAUCUGGUCUAACACAUAGUAUUGCAUACUUAAGGCUACCCAUUACAAAGGCAUUGAAUAUCGCCUUAAUGCUAUCUUUCUCCAUAGAUAUCCAAGGACAUUGAUCCUAAGAAAGACAACUCCAAAUCUAAAGAGUAAUAAACAUUCCUAGAGUUUUGCUUCAUGUACUUGACCAAACGCUUAUCUAUGUAGGUGACAUGACACAUUUUUCCUACUCUUGCAGUCUUAAAAGACCUUAGCCCCAAGGAUAUAUUGCGUCUUCCUCUAAAUUUUCAUCUAGAACUGAGUAAACUACUAGAUCUUAAUUGAUGACAAUAUUUCUAUAUCAUAUCCAAUGAGUAUAUUGUUAUCUACCUACAAGAUCUUAGAGUAUCACCACUCUUCCUUGUACCUUCUUAUACACACAAGACCCUUUGUUAUGAAAAUGUUUAGUUGUUGUAUCUUACAAACGAGACACACUGCAAUAGAUAUGAGUAAUCUAAUGGAUUUGAGUAUGACCACUGUUAAAAAGGUUUCCCAUAGUUGAAAGAAAGUUUCAAACUAUAACCUUUUGCUAUAGUCUUAACCACAUAAAACUCAAGCUUUCCAUCUACUUCUGUGUUCCUCUUGUAGACCAACUUACACCUAUAGGUUUUAUCCUCUUUAAGUGCUUCUAUAGAAAUCCAACCUAUGUUAGAACUACCUCUUCAUAACUCCUUACCUUAAGUGAGGACAAACACUGUUCACCACUUCAUCAUAAUCUAUAAGAUAUGAACCUCCCACUAUGAUGAGGCACUAGUGUAUUAGAAAUAAUGGGAAUGGUAUGUUUUGAAACCUCUGGAUCCAUAGUAUCCUAUGCAAUGUGGGAUUAUCUUAUAAUAUAUCCUCCAAUAUGUAUCACUUUUUGCCUUUUUCCUUAUCAUAUAGUCUUCAUAAAAAAUAUGACAUUUGUGUCAAGAAAUAUCUUUUGGUGAUCUCGACUAUAAAGGUAAUAACCCAAAAAUCCUCCUAAAUAUCCUAUAAACUAAUAUACCUCUUAAGAAAAAGAGGUAUUACACAGUGUAUAAGACAUAUCCCUAAAAGAAUUCGGAAAAAUAUGAAAAACCUAUCCACGAUCUCACUAGGACCAACCAAGUUUGAUAUCUUCUAUCCACUUCUCCAUUUUGUAAUAGAGACCCUGGUGCACAUGCCUAGGAAAUAAUCUCGUGCUCCAAUGAAAAGAAUUAAACUUAUUAGACAUAUCACCUUGAUCUAAUCGAAGUGACUUGGUAUUUAUAUCCAAUAGGUUAUCUGAUCCUACCUUAAAUUCAAUGAAUAUAUCUAAGGCAUCGAAUUUCCUAUGUAAAUAUCCAAACCUAGAGUAAUCAUCACUAAAAGUGAUAAAAUACCCAUACCCUUCCCAUGCAUGGACACUAAAAGUUCCAUACAUGCUAGUAUGCACUAACUCCAAACAUUCCUUGGCUCUAGUCCACUUGGUCAUUUUUCCAUCUAUAUAGGAUUCAUAGACUGAAAGAUCUUCUAGAAUCAAAGAGUCCAGACUUUACUAGUCUUUGGAUCUUAUUUAGAUUAAUAUGACCUAGGUUUAGAAACCAAAUGUUUAAUUAGUGCUAGGUUUAAUAAUGAGAUUUAACUAUUCUCAUCACUUGACAAAGUAAUAAUGGAAUACAUAUAAAAGACGAGAAUAUUACCUUUCACUAGUCUGCAUAGCUAACCUUGCAUUUGAAGCUAAGUUAAAUAUAAUCCAUCAUUUAACCUUCUCACUUGUUGAAUAUUCUAUAAGGACUUAUAAACAAUGGGCCUGGAAUCUAUCUACCAUAAAUGGUGAAAUCUACCACUAAAUAUUCAAUAACGAGAAAAUGAUGUAUGCUUUCCUUGUUCCUUAAUGUAAAUUGGGCAUUCCUUUUCUAGAGUCCUAAAAUGUCAUAAAGGAAUCACUUUCCUUUGAGCUUGCUCUCUUAUUCUUUCUCUCUAACUUUCCUUAUUUGGUGUUAUUCUUCAUUUUCUUGAGAGAAGAACCUAAAGAACCUUUGACUUUCAUAUGUACACUCUAUAAUUUUUAAUAAUCCCUUUAGCCAUCCCGAAGGAAAAUGACAAGGUCUCUAAGAUCAUAUAUAUGAAUACUAGUGUUCAUAACAGUCCUAAAAGUAGCUUGUCAAUGUUGUCCUACCAUUAUCAUCAUUCCAAACUAGAAAGUGUAUAUGAAAGUCUUUAGUAAUAGAGAUAUGUUGCUAUUGCAACACAUUAUCCAAAGAUCCAAGUGUUACACACUUGGUCUUCUAAUACAACCUUGAGAUACCACUCUUUCCUUUUGCUAGGUUAGUUCAUAAGGAAUAGUUAGCUCUACCUAAACUAGCUUCUAUGUAAUUACUUGUUAUAUCCAUAAUGAAAUUAGUCUAAUUAAUUAGUUGGGCUUGGCUUAUUGUGAGAAAGAGAGUGAUAAUAUAACCAACAUGAUAUCUGUAAAAAAGAAUAUAAUCAAGCAUAUGACAUAAUUUAGCAUUUAUGGGAAUUGGUAAUAAAUUUAGCAAAAAUGUAGUGUUCUCAAACUACAUGUCAUUUUGUAUAUUAGUAUCAUAAAAAUCAAGUCUACCUUAUUAAUAGUUAAAGACCUUCUUAGAUUGAUCUCAUUGCCUUAAGUAUAAAGGUAUCUAAAGGCAUGAUCAACAUACUUUUUAUUUGGCCUAUGGACUAUGCAAGUAGGACCGUGUGAAGCUAUUCUACCACUUCAUAUCCAAUGUCAAGUUGUGGACCCACAUUUUCCAUGUGCGUUCCCACUCAAACGGCUAGACUUGUUUUUUUUUUAUUUAUUAUUAUUAUUAUGAAAAAUUGAUUUUUUGAAAAAGACUUGGAGUUGUAACUUAUUUUUGUUUUAUUUUUUAAAAGGGGAAACAAAAUAAGAAAAAAAAAAGUCCUAUGUGAAUCUUUAUUUGGAAAAGACGUGUAUGCAAAAACUGAGUUUGAAUUUGGGAAUCAAGUUACCUAUCAGGAAGGUACGGUAGUGUGUCAUAGCACCCCUCUAAGAUUGUAUACAUACGACCUCUACUAAAUGAAUGAAGGGAAUUGUGACAAUUAAUUAAUUGAUCAUGGAUACCGAGAAAAAGAACCACAAAUAAAUAUAUACAAAUCAUUGCGAAAAUCAAUAUAUACAAAAAUAAUGAUGAAAUCAAAAUACAAGUAUAUACAAAAUAAAUGACAAAGAGAUUAUGCAAAUCGAUUUAUUGAACUAAUUAAAAAAAUAUAUUCAAAAAAAUUAUUUUUUAAAGACAUUUCAAAGGAUUUUAUUAAAAAAAAAAGAAACAAUUUUGAAUUAAUGAUUUCAAUUUAAUUAUUUACAAAAAAAAAGUGUCAAUUUAUUUUCAAUAAAUGCUUUGAUUCAACUUUAUUUGUUUUCAAUUUUUAAAAAGAGUUAUUUACCCUUAUUGUAUCAAAAGAACUUAUUACAAAAUUUCAAUUUGGUAACAAAUUUUUACUUGUUUUUACUAGAAAUGAAUGAAUUUUUACAACUAUAUUUACAAAAGUAUCUUAGUUUGAUUUUUCAUUUAAGAAAAGUGAUUUAUACAAAUUAUUUAUAAUAAAUAAAUAACUUUAUUUGCAAAAGAUUUUUUUUUUUUAAAAAAAAGAAAAGACUUUUAUAGGUUUAUUUACAAAAAUGUUAAAAUUCAAUCCAAUUUUAAUCGAAAAGUGAAUUUUCACAAAAUUAUUUACAAAAGUGUCUUAACCCCUUUUUUAUUUAUAAAAAAUAAUUUAUUAUUUGGUUUCAUUAAAAAAAAUUUAUUGAAAAAGAGAUUUUAUCUUUAUUUGAUUUAAAGGUAAGUUAUUCAAUUUUAUUAGAACUUAAAAAAAUAAAAUAAAAUAAAAUAAGUCUUAAAGAUUUGAACUUUACAAAUAAAUAAAUAAAUACCAAAGUUAAAGAAAAUCAUUUUUUCAUAUUUUAUUCACAAAAGCAUUCCAAUUUGAUUUUUGUUUUCUUUUAAAAGGAUUUUUUUUAAGAAAAAAAGGAAAUUUACAUUUUCACAAUUUUAUUUGAAAAGAAUUUAAUUUAUUUUUAUCAUUAAAAAUAAACAAGUAAAAAUAAGUAAAUAAAUAAAUAAAUAUGCUUAUAAAUUGCUUAGAAGAUUCAUGAAGAUUUUUUUUUUUUUUAAAUAAUUUUGUCUAAAAAAAAUUACAAUUUUAUUUGCUUAAAUAAAAAUAAAAUUAAAAGCUAAAAAGAAGAUUUUUUUUUGAAUUUUAUUUCAAAAAUAGAUUUAUCUUAAAAAUAACAUAAAAUUAUGAGUUUGUCUAAAAGAUUGAAUUUUUACAAACCUUUACUAAAGACAAAUUUUUACAAUUUUAUUUAAAAGGAAAUUUUCCUUUAAAAAAAAAAUGAAGAAAAAUCUGCACAAGUUUUAUUAAAAAAAAAAAAAUUGUUCAUAAAGAAAAUAUUAUUCCAAUCUUAAUUUUAUUUAAGGGAGAUCUUUACAAAUUAUUUGGAAAAAGUACAUUUACAAAAUUAUGUACAAAGUAGGUAUUUAUUUAGGGAUGAUUAUUUACUUGACUUUUAUUGAAAAGGAAUAAAAUAAUAAUAAUAAUAAUAAUAAUAAUAUCUAAAAAAGGAUUUUACCUAACUUUAAAAAGAUAUUUUUUAAAAACUUUAUUUAAAGAGAUAACUUUGCCUAAGAUAAUAACAAUAAUAAUAAUAGAAUAAAAUUAUGACUUUAAGGGUUGAAUUUUUUAUUUACUUUUAAUAAAGAUAGAUUUUUGUAAUUUUAUUUAGUGAUAACAAUAAAUCAGGCUCCACCAACUUCUACCCAUGCCAAUACCUUGCUUCAACCACCCCAACUACUCAUAUUUUGCUCUUCCCACUCUCAACACAAUGACAAAAGACAACCUAAUCGUAAGAAAACCCAAUAUGAAUGAACUUCAAUAACCCAAAUCAAUAAUGCAUAAAGCCAAAUACAAAACAAUAACCCGAACAACAAAGCCUAAAUAGAACAAAUACAUCAAACACAAGUCCAAUUAAAUGAAAUUCGAGCCUAAAUUCGUAAAUGAAUAUUGUAGAAAUUAAAUAACAUAACAUAAAAUAAAAGUAAAAAAUAAAAGAAACAAAAUAAAAUUAAAUUAAAACUUACCUAUCUCCCAAAGCCGUGUAUAGAGAUGUAGCAACAAUGGGAGAUCGGUAGCCAUGGGGAGCGAAAAAUGAGAUAGAGGCACGCCUAUGGCGAGACAUAAAGGACAAUAAAAGAAAAAAAAAGGAAGAGAAGGAAUAAUAUAAAAAAUAAAUAAAAGAUAAGAAAAAGAGAUAUGCGGGAUGAAGUGGCCGGAGAAAGGUCAACGAUUGUGGGGUUGUCGGUGAUUAGUUGCCAUCGGCGAUGACCGUGGGCCAAUGCUCCCGCCAUUGGAGAUGCUGUGGACGAGAAAUAAGAAAGGACAGAGAAUAAAAAUAAAGAGAAAAGAAAGAGGAAAGAAAAAGAAUGGGAAAAAAAUAAUAAUCAAGGAUCAGUGAGUGGAGAAGAGAAUAUGGGAGAAAGGAAGAAGAUAAAAGAAAGUGGGAGAAAGGAAAGGGAAAGGUGAGGUGGCAGGUAUGGAGAGGAGAGAGAGAAGUUAAGGAUUUAGGGUUUUUUUUUUUAAAGAAAAAAAAAAAGAAAAUGGAUGGUAGGGAUGGGGUCUAGAGAUGAACGACCAGUAUUGGUUCUCUAAAGUAAGAAAUGGGCUUGGAACUUUGGCCCAAAAUGCAAAACAAAAAGGCCCACCAAAUUUAGGGGUCUACACAAGUGUAUAACCAUUAUCCUCGAACUAUCAUUGUCACCAAAUAAAGAACCCCACCAUGGGGGUGGUCACUCUCACUAUAGAUAUAUCUAGUUUUCUAUACACAAUUCCAAUUAAUAAAUAUUUUAUUUAGGAAAUGUUUCAAAGAAAUUUAUUUCCAUCAAAUUACUAAAUCUUUUGGUAGUAAUAUUUUAAUGAUAAAUUAUUUCUAAUGAAAAUUUUCAAAACAUUUAUUUUCCAAAAUGGAGACACUUGUAUAAUAAGGAAAUUGCCAAUUUAUGAGAUUUUGAAUAAUCUUGAGAGCACCUUAUCUAGGAAAGGAAUUUUUGCUUCUUAUAUUUAAAAAUCCUCAUAAGAUUAACUUUUCUUAUUCCUUACACUUUUCUAAUUUAAUAAAUAUUUCCAUGGAAAUUUCAUAAUAAUUUAUUCCAUUAAAUACUACCAAAAAUAGAACCUUUUAAUAAUUCCUUAAUAGAUAAAAUAUUCUCUAUGAAAAACUACCAAAAAUGUUUAUUUCCAAAAAUGAAUUAAGCAAUCCUUUUUCAAAAGUAUUUUCAAAAUAUUUUAUAUCUCCAUUAAAUUACUAAAACUUUCCAAAGUUAUUUUGGUAACCCUUCUUAUUAUAAAUUCUCGAUCAUAAGAUUUUUCAAAUCUAUUAUUUACUUUUAAACUGAGACUCCUGUGUUAAAAGAAUUGUUCUCUUAUUUUUUAUCAUUAAACUAUCCAAACGAAAUGGUUUUCUUCUUCUCUCUAGUGGGGAGAGCUUGGAUGACCAACCAUAGGUAUAUUUUUCCUUCUUUCACCGAGAAAUAACAAAAAAACCACCUAAAGUUUAAUAAACAGAUAAUCAUAAAGAAAUAACAAUCUUCUUAGCAACAACCAGCUUAAAUAGAUAAUCUUAAAAAAAUAUCUUCUCAUGAAAAUUUAAGAAGAAUACCAAAAAACUUUUCUUUGUGUUCUAAUACUUAUUUUGGUAACCAUUCUUAAUUAUAGAUUAUCCAUUAUGAAUUUUCAAAUUAACUUAUUUUUUUAAAAUUGGAAAUAGGAAAAAUACUAUUUUAUAAAGAUAUGAAAAAAUAAGAGUUUUUCCUUAAAAAAAAAAAAAAAUUAUUCUUAGAGAUCUCAAAGAUUUGAGAAUAUUUUAAAAAGGUAAGAAAGCUCUCAAUCGUUUUUCCAACUUAUCUUUUCUUUAAAAUAAAAAUUCCUAACCAUGCACAAUCCAAUUUAAAUAAGUUUUCCAAUUUUUUUUUUUAAAAACAUAAAAAUUUAUUUCCAAUUAAGAAUACCAAAAUAUCUUGAGGCCACAUAUGCAAUUAAUCAAAAGCAUAUAAUAAAAACAAGGGAAUAAAAAAAAUAAAAACUUUUCUCAUAGCCUUUAGGGAUCUUGUUGCAUAUUUGAUAAUUAAAAUUUGGAUAAAAUCCAAAUUACCAAAAAUAGUCCUACAACCAAAAAUAAGGUUACUGAAAAUAGAAAACCCAAAAGGCCCAAUUGCCACCAAAAUGAGCCCAAAAGGAGAGGAAUCAAAUUUAGUCUGAAAAACCAAAAAGAAUUGGACUCGUAUGCAAUCCUGUAACAACAUGCUCUUUGUGCAACAUUGCUUCAAUGGACUAUAUCUCCCUUGUUUCAACUCCAAAUUGCAAUUUGCUUGAACCAUUGGAUUCGUGACCUCCUAAGAUUCAAAUUCAUAUGUGGCCUGCCCCAAGAAACUACUAGGAGAUAGUUGUGAUUUUGAGUUUAAGUUAACGUCAUUGUGUUGCCAUGGAUCUCAAACCAAGAACUUCCAAGAAAGCUUCUUUUUUCUUUAGCUACCAUAGAAUCUCAAAAGGAACUUUCAAGAUUCCUUCUUUUCUCUUGGGUCACAUAAUCAGGAAUGGAUAUAAAAAAGGCUACUAGGCUCCUUUCUUUCUUAUCACAUCCAACCCUUAUCGAUAGCCCCCACUAGGACAUUCAAGUAAGUCGGGUUUUGAUCUGAUUCCAAAAUGAGGCAGUGUUACCAAUGACUCGAUACCCCGCUGCUACUGAAUGAAGUUCGUCCUUCUCUCAUUUCCCUAUAAUAAGAUGUUGACCUCCGUAGAUAAAUGCCCCAUAUAACCUCUCAUCUCCGGGGUUGGGUUGAAAGAACAAUCAAACUGGGUUAAGAGAAGUUUAUGAAUCGAGUGAAAAUGAAAAAUAAAAAUCGUAAAUAAAAAUGGGCCAAGUGUGUGAUGCAAAAACUGAAAAUUUUACAACAAUUAAAAAAAAUAAAAAAUCCUAUGCUCUUUUAAUGGAGUUUGCAACCCAUCUAUUGAAAAGAAAAGAUUUUUACAAUAAAAUAAAAAUCUUAUACCCCUUAUGGGGUGUACAACCCAAUCUAGAGAAUCAAAAGGCAUAAAUCAUAUCCAUUUAUAUUCCUUCAAAUGAAUAAAUAAUAAUCCAUCACAAUUAUAAUCAUAAUCAUCGUAUUGACAUUCAUUCAAUUGAACAAAUAAAUGUAUCCCAUUCAUUCAUCUAUUUAGACCAUGGGAUGAAUAAAACAACCCUGUAAAAUAUAGUGAACACACCUUAGAACAGAUCUAACAUGCUAAAACCUACCCUAGGGUUCUGAUACUAGUUGUUGGGAACCUCAAAUUACUCUAUUCCCAUGCCCUAGAUCACGUAGGGUGCGUGCAAAUAUAUCAUAGGCUCUUUAAAUCUAUCACAACAAAUAAAUUGGUAUUAAAAAACAAUAAGGAUACCAUAGAAAAACAUAAAUAUAGAGAAUAAAGCCACAUACCCUUGAUUUGGUUGUUCUCGGAUCAAUUCUAAUCGAUGUAGAUAGCUCCAAAGUCAUAAUGUAUCUUGUAAACAUUAUGAUCUUCUACCCGACAACUCUUCCUUGUGUCUAGGCAUUAAGAUGGUGGAGAUAUCAAGGGUAGAGUCUAGGGUUCUCUUUCUAAACUAAAGGGGAGAAUGACAAGACAUAAAAACCAUAACUCCUAAAGGGGUAUUUAUAGGCUUCCUACUAGGCUUAAGUGACUUAAGCCCACCAUGGGCUUGGGUCACUUAAUCUAGCCCAAAAAAUGUUGCUAAUUGAUUAAUUAACCAUACAAGACCCUAAUUUAUUAAUUAGCUUAGUCCAAAGAUACCACUCACUUAUCCCUAUGCAACCUUGUGUAAUAAAUAAAAUGCUCUUAUGCAUAAAAGUGAACAAAAACUCAUCUAACCUUCAUAAACUGUGCCAUCAAGGAAUAUGAGCUCAGAGUGGGGAUUAUUAGAACCCAUGUGAGUAUUAGCUCCUUCAAAAUCAAAUUCUGAAAUUGAUUCAAUAUCCCACUAUAGAAAGUUAAUUGCACUCUAGUACCCUAUGUAUAUUACAACGAGACACCAAGUGCUCAGGUUCGUGAUCUACUAUCUACUGUAUGCAGACUCCCCAUGAACUAGCGUCUGUAAUCUAACAAGAUAGUAUUAUUACCUCUCAAAUUCUUGAGUUAUAGAUUCCACUUAUUAUGUGAUCAAAUAACAUACUCUAAUUCCAAGGAGCACAUGUCAAAUCCUACUAAAGGAAUUACUGUGGUCACAGAUUUCAUGAUCACAUGUCCUUUGAAUCACCCAAUGAGACACAUUGCCUCAAUCUCAUAAGAUAUCGUGGUGCUUUUAUUGAGAAUACUUGUUGCCACUAGCCUUCAUCAAUAGUUACCCAAUCCAUAGAGAUAUAUGACCACUUUAGGGCCUCACCUAUAGAUCAAAACCCCUUGUUGAUUUUAGAAUAGGCUCAAAAUCCUCUCAAGGUUGAGAGUCCAUGUAGCAUAGUAGCUUGAUGAAUCAUGACAAUUGAUAGCCUUGCAUCAUGAUUCACCAUAUGUUUUAUCCAAUGUGCAUAUACUCACCAUGAGAAACACAUAUUGACGGCCAAGACAAGUUAUCCCUCUAAUUAGGAGGUGGCGUACUACAGUCUCUACGAGAUUGUCCAAAUCUAUGAACCAAUUAUAGACAACUUAUCUACUUAGAAGGAACCCAUGAAUUUUAUUUUCCGUGCAACUCCAAAUGUACUCAAGUCAUGUACAAUGUAAGAUUUAUGGAUUGAAUGCUCAAAUCAAUGUCAAUAUAACAUGAAUUGUUACAACAUGUCUUGUUUUUAGGGGUUCAAUCCUAACAAGUAUUACUUUCAUACACUCUUUCUCCUUAAGUAUCUUAAGACAUUGAUCUUGAGAAAAAAGAACUCUAUGUCUAAAGGGUAGAAAACCCUUUUUGGAAUCUUGCAUAGCAUAUGACUCAAGUGGGUUGAGAUAGUGUAAACUUCCUAUUCUUACAAUCUCUUAAGACCUUAAUCCAAGGAAUAAACUAUGUUUCUUUAGAUUUUUCAUCUGAAACUGAGUAGAAAACUAUAUCUUGGUUGAUGAUAAUAACCUUAUAUCAUUCCAAAUGAGUAAAAUAUCAUCAAAAUAUAGGAUCAUAAAGACCAUCAUGCUUCUUUACACAUUCCUAUACACACAACGUUCAUUUUUCAUUUUGAUGAAAGUCAAACGUUUUGAUGAAAGUCAAAAGUUUUGACCGCCUAAUCAAAAUGCUUAUACAGUGAGCAAGAUACUUGCUUUAAUCCAUAAAUGGAUUUCUGCAACUUGCACACCAAACACUUUUGGUAUUUUACUAUGAAACCAUAUAGUUGCAUCAUCUAAAUGGUCUUACUAAGAUAGUCAUUUAAGAAUGCUUUCUUGACAUCUAAUUUGUUUGUCUCAUAAUUGAGAUGUGUUGUAAUGAAUAGGAGUAUUCUUAUGGAUUUGAGAAUGGUGGCUAGUAAAAAAGUCUCUUUAUAGUCAAAACCAAAUUUUUUACUAUAAUUAAGUCUAACCUUUCCAUCUACUCCUUUCUUCCUCAAAUAGACCCACUUGCACCCUAUGGCUUUUAUGCCUUUAGGUGCUUCUACAAGCUUCCAAACUAUGUUAGAAUGCAUGGAUUCUAAUUUUGUAUCCAUAGCUCUUAGCCAAAAAGAUGCAUCAACAUCGCUCAUUGCUUCAUCAUAAUCUAUGAGAUAAAUCUCAUAUUCUUAUGAAAUUAUCUCAAAAGACUUAUCCUAAUACAUUAAUCGGUCAAGUUAUACAAAACCCCUACUAUGACGAGGCAUUAGUAUACUAAAAAUGUUAGAAGUGGUCGGUACUAUAUCCAUAGUAUUUUGUGCUAUUGUGGGAGUGUCAUCUAAUACUCUUCAAUCAAUAUUACUCCUAAACUUAUUACUUAUCAUAUAUUCUUCUUUAAGAAAUCUAGCAUUUGUACUCACAAAUACUUUUUAAUCAAUUUGAGUAUAAAAGUAAUGGCCUGUCUACCCAAUUCUUCCCUGGAGGAGAUUCGCAAUAACACCAUGGAAUUGACCAAGGAUUUGGUCCAUUCAAAUCUCUCUUCAACUUGCUCAACCAUGUAAGGCUCUAAGUUUUCUUGGGAAACUUCUACCAGAAGAUUUUUUCCAAUCAAUUAAGACAUUUGUAGUGGUGUUUGGAAUUUGAAAAUAGAUGCAUCAUAGAGAGUGAAGAUAGUGAGAACUGAUUUUGUUUAUCUUGGAUCAACACACUUUAAUGUCCUAUUGUUUGCCUUCUAUAAGGAUCCUAUCUAUGAGACUGUUGAACAAGGACUUGCUUUAGUCCUCCAUGGUUAGGAAGAUCUAAAUAUUUAUCAUGUUAGGAGAAUUCAAUGCUAAAACUUUUCCAAAUGAUGGCUCCAUUUUUUUUGGGGUUCUAAAAUCAAGAAGAAAAAAAAUAAUUAUUGAUUUAUUUCACUUUUUGAUAUAUAAAGAGUGGACAUGCUCAUCAUUUUUAUCAAUGACAAUCUUUAAAUAGGCCGCCUGGAGAUCAUUGUGGUAGAUUCAGUAGGUAAUAUUGUCGUGUUAAUCUGUCAAUUUAUGUAUAGCUAUCAUUGCCUCUUAAGGCGUUGAUGUCAUUUAGCUGCAAAGCUUGAAACCUUGUUUAGCCAUAGAAUUUCCCAUCAUAACUAUGACCUAACGUGGAAUUUAUAUUUUAUGCAAUUUUUUUCUUAUUCAAAGAUGUUUAAUAAAUUAUUCUUAUUACCUAUUAAAAUAAGGGGAAAUUAUGUUUUGGGAGGCCCAUUUGAAGGUAAUAUGCAAAUCAAACCCAAAGAAACUGGAAUAUAGGCUUUGUCCGUUAAUGACCAAAUUAUUAUUCUUUUUGUGCACUAUAUAUUGUUUCGGUGAGCUAUUCCAAAAUUGCCCUUUAGUUUUCCCUGUCAGCAACCACCGCGGUCUCCAUGUCAACAGCCACCGCACAAUUUAAUAAACAUUGAAAUGUCAACCGAUCUCCAUGUCAGCAGGCUGGUGUGCAAUUUUAGAAACAUUAAAAUGUGAAUAAUGAAGUUAUGAAGUCUGAAACCCACAAAGCACCCCGACCCAACAAACAUUUGAAACUUGAAGUUAUCUUUGUCACUUUCUAUCGUUUUGCCCUAACCAGAUCUUAGAAAAUUUCCAUUUUCAUAGCUCUUUUGAUACAUCCGAUUUGUUUAUUGAGAUCUUGAGCAGGCGAUCAAUACCCAUAUUUUGAAAGCCGGCUUCAUUUGAUUCUGCCCUAACCCUAGUGUGUCUCUUUACUAGUUGACGACCCAAACCCGAUAGGUUUUUUCCGAAAACCUUCAAGGAAGCCAAAAUCGAGGCAGAUCUUCGUAUUUCUUCAUCAAAUGUUGAUUUUUUAAAGGUUUAUGGAAACCGAAGUGGAGUUUCCUCAAUCAAUAACAGGUGAGUUUUCCAUUUAAGCAUUCGUUUGGGUGUUGAGAACAUAUUAGGGUUGAAGGUGUUAACAUGAGCAUCAGAAAAGAAACUAGUUUAAUAAUAGAUUGAGCAUCAGAAAAAAGGCCGGCUUUGGUACUUUGUUUUAGCUGUGAUUUUUUUUUUUUACUUUUUGAUGGGUAUUGUGAGGUUUUCUAUGUCAAUUGUUGGUUGGUUUAAGCAUUUGGGUCUUUUAGAUUUUGAGCAUUAACUUUUGGGUUGUCCACUGAUUAGGUUUUUAUCUCAUUUCAAAAUUGAAUUUGAGGUGUUUUUACUGUUUUGAGUAUCAAUUAUACUGGUAGGAGGUGAGCAAAAAAUCAUUAUAAAGUAAAGUUUUUGUAUACUGUGAUGUGGAUUUUUUUUUCGGGGUCGUGCGUUGGCUGGUUAAGCAUUUAGGUCUUUCAAAUUUUGAGCAUUGAUUGUUGAGGUGUCCAACAACUUGGCUUUUAUAUCGUUCCAUAAGUGAAUUUUGAGGUAUUUUGCCAUUUCAUGAUAUUGAUCAUCCUUGUAGUAACUGAGUAGAAAAUGAAUAUAAAUUAAAGGUUUUAUGUGGUGUGUUGUUGAUUUCAUUAUUGGGUAUUGAUUUUUAUUUGGUUUAAGAAUAUGGGUUUUCAUAUUUUGAGCAUUGAAAGUUUUGUUGUCCAAUGGCUUUGCUUCCACCCUAUUUUAGUAGUGAAAUUUGAUUUUUUUUUUGCUUCUUUUAGUGUUGAUUAUGAUGGUGGUAGGUGAGCAAGAAAUAAGUCAUUGAGUAUAAAUCAAAGGUUCUCUCUAAUGUAUUAUUGAUUUAUUUUUUUGGUGUUGAUUGCUGGCUGAUUUAUCAUUUGGGGAUUCCAUAUUUUGAGUACUGAUUGUUGGGUUGUCCAACGAUCUGGAUUUAAUCUGGUGUUAGAAGUGAAUUUUGAGGUGUCUCAUUUUAGUAUUGAUUAUACUGUUGUUCAAUGAGCAAGAAACGAGUAUAAAUUAAUAUACUGAAAAAAUCAUAUUAGUUUAAGUGCUUGUGUAAUACAUGCAUAAUAAAUCUAAAUCUAGAAGAUGAAAUCUUGAAUUAGAAUUCCCAGGAUGGAUGAGCUAACAUGUUAUAUCUUGAUAUCUAGACCUACAAUGAGAGAAGGAAUGCAAUAUUUUAUCGAAAAAUUAAAUCCAUUAUAGAAUAGGUUUAUGGAUCUUAAUUAAAUAUGGAUGAUCAAAACAAACUAUUUUACAAAAAUCAGUGAUGAUCAAACCUCACUUUAUUUUCCCAAUGCAACAAAACCAAGCAAAGUUGUGAAUUCAUAAUUUCGGUUUUCCAUAAAUAAAAUAGGAAUCAACGAAUGGUAUCAUUUCAAGUCAUAUAAUUACUGGUAGACCUACAUUGUGAAAGGUCUGCUUGCAUUGUAAAGAAGCCUAGAUUGAAAAAAAAAUUUAUAAAUAAAAAAGUAUACAUACUCACACCUAGAUUUUUAAUUUCAAGUUUUAUUUGUAAUGUGCUAUUUAGGGUUUUGUUUAUUUAUUUCAUUUGUUUUAAAGCUUCAAUUUGCAUAAUGUCUUCUCUUUAUGAAUUGUGAUUAGGUAAAGUAUUUGAUAACUCUUGUUGAAAUUUGAGUUUUAUAUUUCUUUAAUGUUCCAUGUGAGAGUUUGAGCAUCAUGCCACUUAAAAUUUUUUGAAGUGAUCAGCAUGAUUUUGUAAAGUAUAUUACUGUUUAUUUUACUUUUUCUCUCCUUAAUUGCUAAGGGACUAGCAAUAUGUCGGUUGGGGGGAGUGAUUACUACUCAAAAAGUGUUAUUUUGUACCUUGUAAUUAACUCUUUUAAACACUUUUGAGUAGUAGUUAUUACCUUUUAACUCAAUUAGCAUAUUAAGUACCUUUGCAAUCGUUUCUAAUCAAAUUGUGUAAGUUUUGGUGUUUUUGAUAGUAUUUUGAUCACCAAAGAAAUCCAAGAUUGAGGAGAAUUCUAUGGAAUCCAUGGCAAAGCAAUUGGAAGCUCAUUAACAUAAAGAAUCUAAGCUUUGAAGUUUUAUAGUCCUUUGCCAUAAGCAAAUCAUGAAUGCAAGGAGAGAAAGCAAAGAGAGAAAUCUAACAUGAAGAAUUCAAGAAGAUAGCAACUGUUGGACACUUUUGGAGCACUUCCUGGAGCCCAUUUGAUGCAUAAUAUAUGUCGUUUUGAAGCUCGGGAAGUCAGCAAUCCAACGCUUUAAACGGUACAUGAAUCGGAGUUGAAAUGAAGAAGUUAGAGCCAUUGGAAUCCGAUCACACCAAGCUGAAGGCCAAUUUCGCAGGCUGCGAAAUCAGCCUUUGGUUGCAAAAUCACAAGAGGAUGGCUGCGAAAUCAGCCUUUGGUUGUGAAAUGGUGACCUUCAGCUUGCGAAAUUUUGCAGCCAUCUUGCAUGCUUAGGAAAUCCUCCUGAGUGCUUCCAGAUAUUUGCGACCGACACUUUUAGAUUUUUUUCUUCAGAUAUUUGAUGUUUAAAUCCCCAUUUUCUCCUUGUAAUCCACCAAUCAUAGGAUUCCUUGGUUAUUAAGUAAGAACAAAGGGUGAAUAACCUUAUAUAUAUUGUUUGUAAUUUUCAUUACACAAAACAUCUCGGGAACUUGUUCUCAGAGACAUCUUUUAUAUAGUUUUGAAGGAAGUAAAAUACAGAGCUUUGCUCUGCCUUACCUACUCAAUUUGAUUGUAUUUUUCUUUCUAUCCAAACAAGCUCUAAGGAUAUUUCCUCAGAGAAUGAGUGGCUAGACUUUUUGUCUCUUGGAGCUAAGGUAGCUGGGUAAGGUCUCGAGUGCAAGAAUUGGUAGUUUUGUUGUUUCAGCUAUUAAGGAAGAGAAAGUGUGACCCGUUAAUGGUUUCUAUGUUUUUAGUUAACUUAAAACGCCUUUAAUUCACCUAGGCCAACACUUGGUAAGGCAAGUGAUCUCCGUCCAUUGAGAUGCACUAGUUUACCUCUUGCGAGCCUUUGGGAGGUGACUCGAAGGUAGGAUUUUCUAGAAUUGCCAACACUUGGUAAGCUUUUGGACUCUAAGGAGACAUCCAUUAGUUAUCUCUUACGAGCUUGAGAAGGGAAGUCCAAGGUUAAUGAGCACUUUGAAUGGUAAAUGCUAGGUGAGAGGCACGAGCCAUUGCAAGUUGCAUCAGUGAGAGAGAUUUAGUGUUUGAAUCCAAUAACGGGAAGCAUCUGUACAACACCGAUUAGAGAAAUAACUAUAUGUUAAUUCUCUAAUGCGAGGAAAAGAUUCAAGUGACCGGAGCUUUGUUUUUGCAUGAGGAGUCUGACCCCAGUGAACCUAAAACUCCAAGGAACGCUUUUCUUCAUAAGUAAUUCCCAUUACUUUCUUUUUAGUUAGCUUAAAAUCUAUCAUUUUUCAAUCAAAGUUUAUGUUUUCUUUUGAAGCUAACCUUGAAAUGAAAAAAACACCAAUUCAACUUUGAAUUGGUAUCAGUUGUAAGUUGAAAACCCUUCCCAGUGAACGAUCCUAGAGCCACUAUGCUAUAUUAGCUAAGGCUAUCCUAGUGCAUGGUGAUAUAGGUUAUAAAUUUUGUUGAUUACUCCUGUUUGAGGACCAAACUCAAGGUACACCAGCUAGGCACGCAAUCAAUGUCAAAAUUGUUGUGAUUCAUGAUGACAGAGAUGUGUUUUUAGUUUAUUAGUACAUUACUUCGCAGGUACUUAGGUAAUUCAAACCUCUCUAGUCAUCUGGUACUUGAACUUGGGCAGCUAGAGUAUCUACAAUAUCUGUAUUUUUUCUCUUUGAUUGUUUAAUGUAGAAAGAUUGUGAUUCCUUAGUUUUUUAUUCUAUGGUUUGUCUUGCAAUAAUCUAUGGUAUGUUGAGAGAGUCAUUCGAGUUCUUUGAGUGUGGGAUGAUUGGAUAUUUCUUUAUGAACUAAGAUAUGGAAAAUCACCCUUUAAGAGUUUAGGAAUGAUGAUCUAUUAUGGAGCCUUAGGAUCCCUACAAAAUCUACUUUAAAUUUCCAGGAAAAAAAAUGUGAUUAGGGGGCUAUUAAUUCAAGAGCCCCCCAAUAGAUUAGGAUCUAAGGAACUCACACAGAGAUCUAGCAACACCCAUUCUUCUGGGUCUGAAAUGUGUUACGAUGUGUUGUGCAAUGCCACAAGAGUUUCCCAUCUAUGCGAUAUUAGAAAUAGAACUUGAGUUAUGGUUUCCUAACACCAGUGUAACUCUAAUUGUUGCUCCCAAAAAGGAGGCUACUAGUAUAACAUGCAGGAGAGUAUAUACAAAGUUUGAGUAUUUUUACCUCAAACAUCUCUACCAUGGGAAAGGUUUGGCUUUCUUUUCUUAGUUGAGUCUCAUUCUUAUUGUAAUGUUUAUUAUAAUGAAAUGAUGAAAAGAUGACAAAUAUUGUUGGGGUAAAUUGUUCAGAAAAGUGGCAGCAUGUUAUUUAAAUAUAUGAAUAUGGAACUGGAAACUCAGACUCCAAACAGGAAACAAAGGAAGGGAUAACAUUCUCUUAACAUUUAUGAUGGGCCCAUCACAUAGGGUUCCUUCUCAGUCACCCCAUUGAAAUCUAUCCAACAUAAGACACACCCUUAAUAAAAAACAAAAACAAUAAUAAAUGAAAAAAGAAAAUAAGGACAACAUAGUUUACCCUUGAACAAUGGAAUCUUUGAGAGCAUUUAGUAAGUUCUUAUAAACUUCACUAGAGAGAGUAUCAUCUAACAAAAUUGCUUUCAAUUUCUUAACUUCAAUGGAUAGGGUCAUUCAUUAUUAACUCGAUGAACGAAUUUGUUGCAUUAAACAAAUUGAUUUCAAAAAACCUAUAAUCUGGGAUGUAUUGAAAUCUUUAUCAGGAUAUGAUAGACUUUUGACUUUCGAAUGAAGGUCUAGGUAUAAACAAAUUAGGCCAAGGUUUACACCCAUAAAGUUAAUAUAGUAAGUUACGUACAUGGGAGUGAGAGUGAUAGAGUAAGUGUAAAAUAAGGAUGUCCCUCUUUGUUAUGUGGGAUCAUUUAAUUAUUAAUGUCUUCUCGAUGGUAAAAAGUAUAGUUCGAUAACGGUUGUAGGAUGUAAUUAUUUUUUUAAGAUGAUGAAGAAUGAAAGUGGAAAGAAACAUAGAAAAUGGUUUGGAGAUGAGGACAUAGGAAUGGUGGAUAGGAAGUAAGCCACCAUUCUUAUUCCUUAAGCAACUUCAUGGCAUUAGAUUAUAGAUACAAGGAUAUAUUAGGGAUUUGAUUAUAGAAAGGGGGCCUUCAUUCCCUUCUUCCACCUUUCCUCUUUGUCUUUUGUUUUGCUAAAAAAAAUUCUUACACGUUAGCUAAGCAUCACAUGCCCCGAGGAUGACCCAUUUCUGACCUCUCUCUCUAGUCCUUCUUUUUCUCUUUCCAACAUCAUUAUAUUCAUACAUAAUCAUAAUCCCUAUUUACUUUUGUUGUCGUUUUAUUUGUAACAAGUUUCUAUUUAAUUAAGGAAAUGGAAGAGGACAUGUUCUGCUACAUUCAUGAAGGCGGUCAACUAGUUAAAUGUGCUGGUGGGUCUGUAGAAUAUCAAGGUGGUCGAACCGAAUCCAUGGUUGUUAGUUGGAAUAUUUCACAUAGUGAUUUCAUUUCAAAACUGUGUGAUGAGCUGCACUUUGACUGAAGUUCUAUCAAAUUGGAAUUCACGGUCAAGUUUGACCCAUCAUGUCUACUACCGUUGCAUGAUGACGUAGUCAUACUUAAGAUGUUCAGAUUCAACGAAAUGUUUUAUCGAGUCUAUGUCUCAUCAUCAAGUGAAGUUAUUGCAGCCUAUAUAGCACUGACUAGGUACUUAUAGCCUUACCAACAUCACAUACACUUUGUCCAUUAACUUUUGAAAUAUAUGUAGAUGGAUGAAUAAUUUUUAUUUGUAGUGCCCCUACUCCUAUUGUUGGUUCAAAUUCGGCACAUGUACUUUCCUCCGAUGGUGAUCCGCCAAUGGAUAUCUGUAAUGACUCUCUUACAAUUGAGUCAUAUAGGUUUUCCCAAAGAUAUGCUGAAUUAAAUAUACUCGAACGUGAUUCAAGGCGGUUUGAAAAUUCCAUUAUGGGUAGUGGACAUACCUUCCCCAAUGUUACCGAGUUCCAUGAUGACGUGUAUUUGAUGUCAAUUGCUGGUAGAUUCCGUUAUUGCUUCAAGAGAAAUAGUACAAAACACAUGGCAGUUGUUUGCACAGUUAAUGAAUGUCCUUGGAAAGUCACUGCUCGUGCAGUUGGUGAAUCGAACAUCGUUUAGGUUCACACUUUUCAAAACCUCCACAAUCAUAGUUUGGAAGAUGUUGCCACAUGCCAACCUUUAGUGAGAUCCAAUCGUGCCUCAUUGCUUAUUGAUGAUGUCAUACAGUCCACUCCCCAUUACCAACCCUGCCAAAUUUGUAAGGACUUUCAAAGGCAACAUAGGAUGCAAUUGACGUAUCUUCAAGCAUGGAAUAUUAAGGAGAAGGCAAAUGAGCGCAUUUAUGGAGAACCCAAAUAUUAUUACAAAUUGUUGCCUUGGAUGUAUGAGAAAAUGGUUGCAACAAAUCUAGGAAGCAUUAUUGAGUUGAGACAUUUAAGUGAUGGGCAUUUUGAGUAACUCUUUAUUGCUCAUUCGGUAUCUAUCCAAGGGUUUGAAAUGGGGUGUCGGCCAAUCAUUGCUAUUGACUCCGCCCAUAUGAGUGGGCCAUAUAGGGGUGCAUUAUUUUCAGCCACUGCAUAUGAUGCAAAUGACUCCAUAUUCCCCUUAGCCUUUGGCGUGAUGAGCUCAGAAAAUUAUGGCAAUUACUCUUGGUUUUUGCAAAACUUGAAAAAGGUUGUUGGAGAUAAGGAAGUCGUUAUUAUCUCGGAUAGACAUCAUGUUCUCCUUCAUCGUGUUCCUGAAGUGUUUGGGCUUGAAAACCACGCCUACUGUUACCGUCACUUGAAGGAAAAUUUCAACUCUUUUUUGAGCAAACGUAACACAAGAGGGAACAAAGGUAAAGAAAAUGCACUCCAAUUCCUUGAUAGUAUUGUCUAUGCAAGGUUAGAGUACGAUUACAAUGUUUUCGAGGUUGAACUACGGAAAUACAAUGACACUUUAGCCACAUGGGUUGAAGAAAAUGCACCCAAACAUUGGGCUAUGUCAAAAUUCCCAAAACAAAUAUGGGAUAAAAUGACCACAAACCUUGCCAAGUUGUUUAAUGCUUGGUUAAGGAAUGAAAGACAUCACUCCAUUUGUGUCUUUCUAAUGGAGCAUAAAGGUAGUACCUAAGGUACAUUAAGGUAGUACCUAAGGUACAGUCCCAAAAAACCAAAGGUGGACCACUUGACCACAUAAGAGAACCACAUAAUGGCAUGGUCUAAGGGUNNNNNNNNNNNNNNNNNNNNNNNNNNNNNNNNNNNNNNNNNNNNNNNNNNNNNNNNNNNNNNNNNNNNNNNNNNNNNNNNNNNNNNNNNNNNNNNNNNNNGGUAGACCCCAACUUUAGCUAAGGUAGUACCUAAGGUCCCUAAAGGUAGUACCUAAAGUACAUUAAGGUAGUACCUAAGGGCUCUUAAGGUAGUACCUAAGGUACAGUCCCAAAAAACCAAAUGUGGACCUCUUAACCACAUAAGAGAACCACAUAAUGGCAUGGUCUAAGGGUCACAAAAGAAGGCCUCGUUUGGGAAAGUUAGACCCCAGUUUUAGCUAAGAUAGUUCCUAAGGUACAAUCCCUAAAAACCAAAGGUGGACCACUUGACCACACAAGAGAACCACAUAAUGACAUGGUCUAAGGGUCAUAAAAGAAGGCCCGAGGCUUGGGAAAAGUAAACCCCAACUUUACCUAAGGUAGUACCUAAGGUCCCUUAAGGUAGUACCUAAGAUACAAUCCCAAAAAACCAAAGGUGGACCACUUGACUACACAAAAGAACCACAUAAUGGCAUGGUCUAAGGGUCACAAAGGAAGACCCAAGGCUUGGGAAUGAUAGACCCCAACUUUAGCUAAGGCAGUACCUAAAGGCUCUUAAGGUAGUACCUAAGGUUUAAUUCCAAAAUACCAAAGGUGAACCACUUGACCACACUAGAGAAUCACAUAAUGGCAUGGUCUAAGGGUCACAAAGGAAGACUUGAAGCUGGGGAAAGGUAGAUCCCAAUUUUUGCUAAGGUAAUACCUAAGGUAUAUUAAGGUAGUACCUAAGGGCUCUUAAAGUAGUACCUAAGGUACAGUCCAAAAAAUCAAAGGUGAACCACUUGACCACAUAAGAGAACCACAUAAUGGCAUGGUCUAAUGGUCACAAAGGAAGGCCCGAGGCUUCGAAAAGGUAGACCCCAACUUUUGCUAAGGUAAUACUUGAGGUACAUUAAGGUAGUAUCUAAGAGCUCUUAAGGUAGUACCUAAGGUACAUUCUUAAAUAACCAAAGGUGAACCACUUGACCACAUAAGAGAAUCACAUAAUCGCAUGGUCUUAAGGUCAUAAAUGAAGGUCCGAGACUUGGGAAUGGUAGACCCCAAGUUUAGCUAAGGUAGUACCUAAGGUCCCUUAAGGUAGUACCUAAGGUACAUUAAGGUAGUACCUAAGGGCUCUUAAGGUAGCACCUAAGGUACAGUCCGCAAAAUAACAAUGCCACUUACAACCUUUUGCUCUUGUUAGAGCUCGCUAAGUCCACUUACAAACUUUUCCAUGCUAAGGCCACUUACUCUUUGGCUUUGAUUUCCAUAUUACCUUCAAAUGGGCGACUCCAAACACAACUUUCCCAUUUUUUUUAAGCCAUAGAAAUUUGCAUGUUAAAACCAUAAUUUUUCUCCCACGUUUUAAAAUUCCCAUUUGCGAGACCUUUUUUUUUUUCGUUUUGACUCUUACCACAUUAUAAAUGCAACACACAAAUUACUUGCAAGACUACUUAAAAAAUAACUUAUGCUUUUAGCUGGACCUAGUAUUUUUUUUAAAUUUUCUUUUUAUUCUUUAUGCAAUAUAAAAAUUUUAAGUUACACUGGAAACCAACUGAAUCCACAAAUACAAGGAACUCUUUCACUCUUCAGUCAUAAAGUAUUCACAAAUCAAAAUACCAACUCCUAUUGAAAACAACAAGCUCUUUCAAUAUGCUAUACCACACACAACAACUGGAUACCAGAUUUCUAUGCAUUUGAAAAGGUUGAUUAAAUCUCUUAACUCUUCCACAUAACUCCUUUAAACAAUAUGAGGAGCUUACCUGCCAUACUGCCAUAUCUAAACCUUGAAUUUAUGAUAAAUAUCCACAAGUUUUCUUAGAUGUAUCAACCUAGGAUCAACUAAUCAAAAUAUUCACUCAUAUAUUAUAUAUAAGAGGCAAAAAACAGAACAUGACUUCUAAACAAAAUUAGCACCAAGUCCAUGAUUUCCUGAUAGCAACCCAUUCUAGAAUGAGUUAUUCCCUCACAUGAUUUCUGGUACAGAUGUUCUCAAAGAAUUCAUACUUAACCAUCCUAGAAAACUAUUCCCAAUAAAAAUAAAAAUAAAUCCCUAAUAUGUUCCUGUACAAUUUGCAGUUCACACAAAGCAAAAACCACUGUCUUGUACGAAACCACAAAUUGCAACACAAUUAAUAAAAGAAAAAAGAAACAAAUAGAAAAACCCCACAAGAAUGCAGUAAAACUAUCAUUCAGCAAAUUCUGAAAUAAAAAAGAAACAAAUAGAAAACCCCACAAAAAUGCAGUAAAACUAUCAUUCGGCAGUUUUGGAAAUAAAAAAGAAACAAAUAGAAAAACCCCACAAGAAUGCUGAAAAACUAUCAUUCAGCAAUUUUGGAAAUAUUGUAAACCAACACCAUUAUCAUUCAAGCUUCUGAAGUAACCCAUGAUGAGAGCAAGAAGAUCAUAGAACACUUCGAAAAUAAUCCAUACCCACUGAAGAAAAACAUGAUUCACGGAGACCCACAUACCUCAUGCCCCUCAUCAAUGAAAAGUCUGUAAGCCAUGUUCGGGUGUUUUCUUUGAUUGGGUUUCAGAUUUCAUAACUUUCCGGUUCACAUUUGAGUGUUUAUUAAAUGGGCAAUUUUGGAUAUCGGUGGCUACUGACAUGGAGACCGUGGUGGCUGCUGAUAGGGAAAACUAAAGGGCAAUUUUGAAAUAGCUCACCGAAAUAGUAUAUAGUGCACAAAAAGAAUAAUAGUUUGGUCAUUGACGGACAAAGCCCAUAUUCCAGUUUCUUUGGGUUUGAUUUGCAUAUUACAUUCAAAUGGGCCUUCCGAAACACAACUUUCCCUUAAAAUAAUCUAAAUAAUAUUUCUCUUGUGAAAGCCCAAGCAUUCUUAUUGUUCUUCCUCUUUCUCCUCUUUAUCAGGCAUUUUAUUAGCAAUUGAUUAUGCAUCUGAAUUUUUUCAUCAACUCCUAGGAGUUCAUUGACGGUCAGCGCUUGGUAACACAUGCCUAUAUGUCUCACAUGUUUGGGUUGAGAGCAAAGCACUUAGGUCUUCACAAAGCAAUUUGUGUUCUGUUGGGAUGGAACAACAUUGUGCCCCCAGACACAAUAACAUGGGUUCCUCAUGUCUUACUUGGUGAUGAAGCUUUGAAUCAGAAAGAGGACCUCAUUCUCUGGCCACCACUUGUCAUCAUCCAUAAUAUUUCUAUUUGGAACAGUGAUCCAAAAGAAUGGAAGCUUGUAACCACUGAAGCGCUUGGGGCUUUUCUCAGAGGUUUGUGACUAACUUUUGGUUAAAUAAUCAUGUUGAGUUGGUUUACAACUGAAUUUAAUUGGAGGGAAUGCAAUGCAUAUAAAAAAUAAGAAUGCAAUUUAACCUAUUCUUGACGAGCAACACAGGAUGAGAAAUAAGAGAUUAUCAUUAUUGUCAGAUAAUAAGUCUGACCAAAAAGACAAGCUCAUUAUCAACCAACCCAACUUAAACUCGACCCUAAUAAACUUGUUGAACAAACACGUUGAAUCCUGCCCCAUUUGAUGAGAAAACAUGGCUAACCUUAUGAUGUAAUUCUUAUUUUGCUACUUGAAAAUUAUCAGUUUUAAAAAACUUAGAAGACUAAUGCCCUUAUACUUUCAUGGGAGUGAACCUCUCAGUAUCCUGAGCAAAAGCCUUUUCUUUUUUUUUCUUUUUUCCUUCUGAUCGUUGACUACUUGUUUUUGUGAAGAUUCUUCAAAAUGCCCUGGUUGCUUCCUUCAAGUCUUCACACCAUUAGAAAUCUGUAGUGCCCUUGCUGUGAUUUGACUAUUUCAUUCUUAUUCCCAAGUCUCAAUAUUUUCCUUUCCUUCUUUUAAAUCAACCCAAGAAUUUUACAAAUUUGUCUUAUUUUUGUAGUAGUUUCUAUAUUGGUUUUGAUUUGGAAGUGAGGAUGACUUCACUGAAAAUGUACAAAUUAAGAAAAAUUACAAAUGAUAAGCUCUUGAAAUUUACAAAAUUCAAGAUAAAUACAAGGCAGCCACUUCUCAUUCCGUCAUCUGUAAAUCACACAUACUUGUGUAUGCAAAUGAAGAAGAAACAAUCAUUUUCUGAAACUUUCCUUUACCUCCUUUGGAAGUCAAGGAACUUAAUGCCAUAGGCAAAGACAAAUAAGAAGAGGAGGACCCAACCAAUAUGAGCCAAGGCAACCGCUCCCAGGAAAUCAUAUUCAAAGCCUAAAGCCUCCUUAAGAUACUGCUUCACUGACAUGUCAUCUGCUCCGGGUACCUGAACUGGAUCCUCCUUGUCGCCCACCUGAGAUGUCACUAGUCCGUAGAUGGUCCAAGCAACAGGGGAAGCCCAGUAGUACCACCUCCACCAUAUUGGUAUUUGCUGCAGAUGUACAGUUUGUUAGAAUUCAGUAUUCUUCUACAAAAACAUACUCAAAUUCUUCGUAGGCAUACGCACCAUCCUAUGGAUGAGAAAGCCAGAGAAGAGAUUCCAAAAGCUUAGGAAGAAGGACAUAACAAUGGCAGCAAUUUGAUGGCUGGGAGUGAGUGCUACAAUCAUCAUUCCAUACAAUGUGAAGUAAAUAAAGCACAUGAAUAGGUAGUAGUAGAACCAUAAGAACUUGUCCACUCGCCAGUAGAAUCCCAUCAUAGAGUAGAGGAGAAAACUG
rnacentral:lncRNA from 1 species